rnacentral:rRNA from 1 species
CUAUGUGUUGUUGGGUAGGGGAGCGUUCUGUAAGCCUGUGAAGGUGGCCUGUGAGGGUUGCUGGAGGUAUCAGAAGUGCGAAUGCUGACAUAAGUAACGAUAAAGCGGGUGAAAAGCCCGCUCGCCGGAAGACCAAGGGUUCCUGUCCAACGUUAAUCGGGGCAGGGUGAGUCGACCCCUAAGGCGAGGCCGAAAGGCGUAGUCGAUGGGAAACGGGUUAAUAUUCCCGUACUUGGUGUUACUGCGAAGGGGGGACGGAGAAGGCUAUGUUGGCCGGGCGACGGUUGUCCCGGUUUAAGCGUGUAGGUGUGUGUUCCAGGUAAAUCCGGUUCACUUUAACACUGAGGCGUGAUGACGAGGCACUACGGUGCUGAAGCAACAAAUGCCCUGCUUCCAGGAAAAGCCUCUAAGCAUCAGGUAACAUCAAAUCGUACCCCAAACCGACACAGGUGGUCAGGUAGAGAAUACCAAGGCGCUUGAGAGAACUCGGGUGAAGGAACUAGGCAAAAUGGUGCCGUAACU